rnacentral:rRNA from 1 species
CGAAUGCUGACAUAAGUAACGAUAAAGCGGGUGAAAAGCCCGCUCGCCGGAAGACCAAGGGUUCCUGUCCAACGUUAAUCGGGGCAGGGUGAGUCGACCCCUAAGGCGAGGCCGAAAGGCGUAGUCGAUGGGAAACAGGUUAAUAUUCCUGUACUUGGUGUUACUGCGAAGGGGGGACGGAGAAGGCUAUGUUGGCCGGGCGACGGUUGUCCCGGUUUAAGCGUGUAGGCUGGUUUUCCAGGCAAAUCCGGAAAAUCAAGGCUGAGGCGUGAUGACGAGGCACUACGGUGCUGAAGCAACAAAUGCCCUGCUUCCAGGAAAAGCCUCUAAGCAUCAGGUAACAUCAAAUCGUACCCCAAACCGACACAGGUGGUCAGGUAGAGAAUACCAAGGCGCUUGAGAGAACUCGGGUGAAGGAACUAGGCAAAAUGGUGCCGUAACUUCGGGAGAAGGCACGCUGAUAUGUAGGUGAAGCGACUUGCUCGUGGAGCUGAAAUCAGUCGAAGAUACCAGCUGGCUGCAACUGUUUAUUAAAAACACAGCACUGUGCAAACACGAAAGUGGACGUAUACGGUGUGACGCCUGCCCGGUGCCGGAAGGUUAAUUGA